rfam:Sphingobacteriales bacterium 50-39 SCNpilot_cont_1000_p_scaffold_0, whole genome shotgun sequence.
GCGGAAGUAGCUCAGUUGGUAGAGCGCAACCUUGCCAAGGUUGAGGUCGCGGGUUCGAGCCUCGUCUUCCGCU